UGCAGUAUCACUUUGCAGCCAUAUACUAAAAUUGGAACUAUACAGAGAAGAUUAGCAGGGCCCUUGUGCAAGGAUUACACACAAAUUUGUGAAGUGUUUUGUAUAUAU
ensembl:snRNA U6 U6 spliceosomal RNA